rnacentral:rRNA from 1 species
GUCUAUGGCCAUACCACCCUGAAUGCGCCCAAUCUUGUCUGAUCUCGGAAGCUAAGCAGGGUCGGGCCUGGUUAGUACUUGGAUGGGAGAGUCUCACAUCUUUAAAGAAAAAGCUGUAAAUG